rnacentral:rRNA from 1 species
AGCCAUGCAUGUCUAAGUAUAAAUGACUUUAUACAGUGAAACUGCGAAUGGCUCAUUACAUCAGUUAUAGUUUAUUUGAUAAUACCAAACUUGUCACAAAGUUUACUACUUGGAUAACCGUAGUAAUUCUAGAGCUAAUACAUGCUAAAAAUCUUGACUUAAUAAGAAAGGGGGCAACUCUUUUUUUAUUGGAAGAGAUGCAUUUAUUAGAUACAAAACCAAACUUUUAUACUUGUGGUAAAACAUAAAUGUAGAAAUAAAAUCAAUUUGGUGAUUCAUAAUAACUUUGCGAAUCGCAUAGCCAUUUUGCGCUGGCGAUGGUUCAUUCAAAUUUCUGCCCUAUCAACUUUCGUCGGUAAGAUAGAGGCUUACCGAGGUUUCAACGGGUAACGGGGAAU